UGCGAAGGAAGAGCCCAGCGAAGAGACCGACAGAGAGAGAGAGAGAGAGAGAGAGAGAGAGAGAGAGUGCGUCUUUGUGUGGAGGAUGGCGGCAUCAUCUCCUUCUCCGCGGGCCAUCUGAGCUCAAUAGGGUUUCCCAAGCUCAGCUCACUGUCAAAUGAGGGUUUUCUCUGCGCUUACUAUUGUGGUCUCGGAGCUCCGAGGAAUUCGAUGCCCAGCUGCGUUAUUACUGUUUCUCAUGAAUAAUGGCGACAGAAGUUUCUGCCACUGAAGAAUUGUCUGAAAGAUAGCUUAUAAUCGGUUUUUGCAGAUUUUUCGCAAACACAAGUUGUUAAGGAUUCGUAUCUUUGGUUAUAUAGCGUUUGUCCCGAAGCUGAGAUUGUUAAAAUUUGUCAGUAUAUCGAUUUGUUUGUCCAACCCUCUGAAUAGCACAAUUCCAGUGUAAGAUGGUUGGAAAAUCAACAUUACAGGUCUCUGCCAGCUCUGUUGUAUUUUCUUCAUCGUUGACCAGUCUUCCAUGUAAUUCUUCUGGUCUUCUACCUUGCCUUCCCCCAAAACCCCGAAAAAAGUAUCCUUCGAUAAAAGCUACAUCCUCGGAGGCUGGACAUGGCCAAAGCCCUGCUUCUUCAGAAAAGAAGAGUCCGAUUGCUGUUGUUCUGGACGUUCCAAGGAAUCUCUGGAGGCAAACAUUGCGCCCACUUAGUGACUUUGGAUUUGGUCGGAGGAGCAUAUGGGAAGGAGGAGUCGGCCUGUUUCUUGUGUCGGGUGCUGUCCUUUUGGCCCUUAGCUUAGCUUGGUUGAGAGGGUUUCAAAUGCGCUCCAAGUUUAGGAAAUAUUUAGCUGUCUUUGAGUUUUCUCAAGCUUGUGGUAUCUGCACUGGGACACCUGUUAGAAUUAGAGGUGUCACGGUUGGAAAUGUAAUCCGCGUUAAUUCUUCCUUAAGAAAAAUCGAAGCUGUGGUUGAGGUAGAAGAUGAUAAGAUAAUCAUACCACGAAAUUCUCAGGUGGAGGUUAACCAGUCUGGUCUUCUCAUGGAGACUCUGAUCGACAUUACUCCUCGAGAUCCAAUUCCCACACCAUCUGUGAGUCCUCUUGACCCAGAGUGUGAUAAAGAAGGUCUCAUCGUUUGUGACAGGCAGAAGAUAAAAGGACAUCAGGGAGUUAGCUUGGAUGCCUUGGUGGGGAUAUUCACUCGGCUUGGACGUGAAGUUGAGGAAAUUGGAAUUGCGAAAACUUAUUCUCUGGCUGAACGAGUUUCUGCAGUUAUUGAAGAGGCAAAGCCACUACUAGCAAAGAUGGAAGCCAUGGCUGAAGAUGUGCAGCCUUUGCUGGCUGAGGUUAGAGAAAAUGGUUUGCUCAAGGAAGUUGAGAGUUUGACUAGAAGCCUCACGCAAGCAUCUGAUGACCUCAGAAGGGUGAACUCUUCGAUCAUGACUCCGGAGAAUACCGAGAUUGUUCGGAAGUCCAUCUACACUCUCAUUUUCACGCUGAAGAACAUCGAAAACAUAAGCUCGGAUAUCUUGGGUUUCACGGGCGACGAGGCAACAAGAAAGAAUCUGAAAUUACUCAUCAAAUCCCUCAGCAGGCUAUUGUAGAGAAAAUACAGACACCUUCCUCUGUUUCGUGAAAGCCAAAAGUAAGGAGUUUGCUGUGAAGAUGAUCGGCAAGGAGGACUCAAAUAGAUUUAGUCCGAUUGCUGCUGAUUAGAUGACAGAAGGAGCUCUUAUGCUCCUCAAUGUAUGAGGGGAAGAUGAUUCUUUUGAGGGAUAUGAUUCAGUGGUCCAGGCAUGAAGGUUGAAGGCGUCAUGUCGAACGGAGGAGAUGUUUUAUCUGGUUGCCGGUCUUGUUGAGAGUCGGUAGCAUGUCUUUUUGGCUGCUAGCUGAGUGUCGCGAUCUUCGAAUAGUCUGAAUUUAUGGAGAAUGAUCGGUGGCUCAGCCUAACUCUACAGAAUUGACUUAGGACACCCAUGCUCAUAUAGCUUGUUUGGAUACAAAGGGAUGGAGGGCUGGGGAUGGGAUGAAAAGGAUAAGUGGGGCGGAGAAGGGACGGGAGUGGUACGAAAGGAUAACAUGUUAAUUAUUUGGAUAGGAAAAAAUAAAAUUUGGGUGGAGAGGGGCGGGAUAAAAUAAUUCGCCCCUGUUUGGAUAAAAAUUUAAAAUGAUGAGAUAUUUUAAUAAAAAUUCUUUUUUUGUCCUUGA